UGAUCCAGCCAUUCCGCGUGAGUGAAGAAGGCCUUCGGGUUGUAAAGCUCUUUCGGCAGGAACGAAACGGCGAGCUCUAACAUAGCUCGCUAAUGACGGUACCUGAAGAAGAAGCACCGGCUAACUACGUGCCAGCAGCCGCGGUAAUACGUAGGGUGCGAGCGUUAAUCGGAAUUACUGGGCGUAAAGCGUGCGCAGGCGGUUGUGUAAGACAGGUGUGAAAUCCCCGGGCUUAACCUGGGAACUGCGCUUGUGACUGCACGGCUAGAGUAUGGCAGAGGGGGGUGGAAUUCCACGUGUAGCAGUGAAAUGCGUAGAGAUGUGGAGGAACACCGAUGGCGAAGGCAGCCCCCUGGGCCAAUACUGACGCUCAUGCACGAAAGCGUGGGGAGCAAACAGGAUUAGAUACCCUGGUAGUCCACGCCCUAAACGAUGUCGACUAGGUGUUCGGUGAGGAGACUCAUUGAGUACCGCAGCUAACGCGUGAAGUCGACCGCCUGGGGAGUACGGUCGCAAGAUUAAAACUCAAAG
rnacentral:rRNA from 1 species